rnacentral:rRNA from 1 species
AGUGAACGCUGGCGGUAGGCCUAACACAUGCAAGUCGAACGGCAGCACAGAGGAGCUUGCUCCUUGGGUGGCGAGUGGCGGACGGGUGAGGAAUACAUCGGAAUCUACUCUGUCGUGGGGGAUAACGUAGGGAAACUUACGCUAAUACCGCAUACGACCUACGGGUGAAAGCAGGGGAUCUUCGGACCUUGCGCGAUUGAAUGAGCCGAUGUCGGAUUAGCUAGUUGGCGGGGUAAGGGCCCACCAAGGCGACGAUCCGUAGCUGGUCUGAGAGGAUGAUCAGCCACACUGGAACUGAGACACGGUCCAGACUCCUACGGGAGGCAGCAGUGGGGAAUAUUGGACAAUGGGCGCAAGCCUGAUCCAGCCAUACCGCGUGGGUGAAGAAGGCCUUCGGGUUGUAAAGCCCUUUUGUUGGGAAAGAAAUCCAUCUGGUUAAUACCCGGGUGGGAUGACGGUACCCAAAGAAUAAGCACCGGCUAACUUCGUGCCAGCAGCCGCAGUAA